rnacentral:rRNA from 1 species
GACGAACGCUGGCGGCGUGCUUAACACAUGCAAGUCGAGCGGUAAGGCCCUUUCGGGGGUACACGAGCGGCGAACGGGUGAGUAACACGUGGGUGACCUGCCCUCAGCUCUGGGAUAAGCCUGGGAAACCGGGUCUAAUACCGGAUAUGACUCCAUGACGCAUGUUGUGGGGUGGAAAGCCUUGUGCGGCUGAGGAUGGGCCCGCGGCCUAUCAGCUUGGUUGGUGGGGGAUGGCCUACCAAGGCGACGACGGGUAGCCGGCCUGAGAGGGCGACCGGCCACACUGGGACUGAGACACGGCCCAGACUCCGUACGGGAGGCAGCAGGUGGGAAUCUUGCGCAAGUGGGACGAAAGCCUGACGC